rnacentral:rRNA from 1 species
AUUGAACGCUGGCGGCAGGCUUAACACAUGCAAGUCGAACGAGUGGCGGACGGGUGAGUAAUGCUUGGGAAUCUAGCUUAUGGAGGGGGAUAACUACGGGAAACUGUAGCUAAUACCGCGUACCAUAGGAUGAGCCCAAGUGGGAUUAGGUAGUUGGUGAGGUAAAGGCUCACCAAGCCGACGAUCUCUAGCUGGUCUGAGAGGAUGACCAGCGACACUGGGAAUGAGACACGGACCAGACUCCUACGGGAGGCAGCAGUGGGGAAGAUUGCGCAAUGGGGGCAACCCUGACGCAGCCAUGCCGCGUGAAUGAAGAAGGCCGUCGGGUUGUAAAGUACUUUCAGCGGGGAGGCGUUACCCGCAGAAGAAGUACCGGCUAACUCCGUACCAGCCGCCGCGGUAAUUC